CAGCAGCCGCGGGAAUACGAAGGGGGCUAGCGUUGCUCGGAAUUACUGGGCGUAAAGGGAGCGUAGGCGGACAUUUAAGUCAGGGGUGAAAUCCCAGAGCUCAACUCUGGGACUGCCUUUGAUACUGGGUGUCUUGAGUGUGAUAGAGGUAUGUGGAACUCCGAGUGUAGAGGUGAAAUUCGUAGAUAUUCGGAAGAACACCAGUGGCGAAGGCGACAUACUGGAUCAUUACUGACGCUGAGGCUCGAAAGCGUGGGGAGCAAACAGGAUUAGAUACCCGUGUAGUCCCUGUCUCUUAUAU
rnacentral:rRNA from 1 species